GGAAGGCAGUGGCAGUCUCAUGAGGUCAUCUCAAGAGGCCCUCGAGCACUCCUACGAAGAGGCCUAUUGGUGGAGGAACGGAGCUUCCACACGCCAACCCAACCGGAAUGAUGGAGGCCUUUUGUCAAGAAUCCUGCGAAUGAACCACCCUCUGAGUGUCCCAGUCAGCCUUCAAAGGGCUGUAGCCACAGUUGAUAUCUGAAAUGCAAUCUCAGGAGAGUUCCAACCAGAAUCCCUCAGUUAAACUUCUUACUUCCUGACCCACAGAAACUGAGAUACUAAAUGUUUGCUGUUUAAGCUACUAAAUUUGGAGAGAGCACAAGCAGAAAGAGAGGAAGAAACAGGCUCCCCACUGAGCAGAGAGCCCAACAUGGGGCUUUAUCCCAGGACUUUGGGAUCAUGAGUCAAAGCCAACUUAACCAACUGACUACCCAGUUGCCCCUGUCACAUGAUUUUUCAACAAUGAUAUAUAAGCAGUUCAGUGGAAGAAGGAUAAUUGUUCUAACAAAUGGUGCUGGAAUGUUUGGAUAUCUAAACCUGUAAAACAAUGUAUGGGUAUAUACAAACAUCAAAACUUGUUAAAUUGUACACUCUUAA